rnacentral:rRNA from 1 species
GUACCUACGGGACGCAGCAGUGGGGAAUAUUGCACAAUGGGGGAAACCCUGAUGCAGCGACGCCGCGUGAGUGAAGAAGUAUCUCGGUAUGUAAAGCUCUAUCAGCAGGAAAGAUAAUGACGGUACCUGACUAAGAAGCCCCGGCUAACUACGUGCCAGCAGCCGCGGUAAUACGUAGGGGGCAAGCGUUAUCCGGAUUUACUGGGUGUAAAGGGAGCGUAGACGGCAGCGCAAGUCUGGAGUGAAAUGCCGGGGCCCAACCCCGGAACUGCUUUGGAAACUGUAUAUCUAGAGUGACGGAGAGG